rnacentral:misc_RNA from 1 species
GUCAGCACUUAGAAGGUUUUUUCAUCACAAUUUGGAUAUCAGCUGUUAUGUAUAAGUCGAACGACAUUGUCAAGAAACAGACUGCUCUAAAGGGAGAGAGGAAAAUUUCUGUCCUUGCUGGAACUUCUAUUGCAUUUUUGGUUCAUGUAAUUGGGAUUUACUGGUGGUGUCAUAGUGACGAUCUUCUAUACCCCUUAGUCAUGCUUCCACCAAAGACAGUACCACCUUUUUGGCAUGCCUUGUUCAUCAUUUUGGUUAACGAUACGAUGGUGAGGCAGUUUGCUAUGGCUCUCAAAUGUUUUCUUCUUAUUUACUACAAGAAUGGCAGAGGCCAUAAUUUUCGUCGGCAGGGUCAAAUCUUAACUCUUGUGGAA